UGAAGAUUCAUCGUCAGCGGUGCUGGCUUCGCGAUGGCUCGCGAUGUCGCGGACUACGGUCCGACGGCACGCGGUCGUCGUGCAUUGUCCGGUAACGUCGGCGUGCACUUCUCCCCUUGUAGAACGUCGCGACCCGUUGGGUGUCGUUCUAAGGCACGGUGGGAAGCCUGUCUCGUCGCUUCACGGCGCAUCGAGACAGACCCCCGUUCGCCAGUAACGGCUGCCCGGCGGUACGCACACGGUAUCGAGCCGCAAUUUUAUUGCGUCGGACCCGCCGCAAGCGCGGCCAGCGUCUCAAUAUCGGGAAUCACGGACCUAGCGCCGUCCCCGGACCUGGCCAGCUGUUGGUUGGCGGUGCUCUCCGACUGGCCGAGAGAAAGAUAAAAAUACCGGUCAGCGACGCUACUGCUUUGGGUAAUCUCAGGACCCGUCUUGAAACACGGACCAAGGAGUCUAACAUGUACGCGAGUCAUUGGGACCGCAUACCUAAAGGCAAAAUGAAAGUGAAGGUCGACCUCGCGUCGACCGAGGGAGGAUGGGUCGCGUUACGAUGCGACCCCGCACUCCCGGGGCGUCUCGUUCUCAUUGCGAGAAGAGGCGCACCCAGAGCGUACACGUUGGGACCCGAAAGAUGGUGAACUAUGCCUGGUCAGGACGAAGUCAGGGGAAACCCUGAUGGAGGUCCGUAGCGAUUCUGACGUGUCAAAUCGAUCGUCGGAAC
rnacentral:rRNA from 1 species